rnacentral:rRNA from 1 species
GAUGAACGCUGGCGGCGUGCCUAAUACGUGCAAGUCGAGCGAACGGACGAGAAGCUUGCUUCUCUGAUGUUAGCGGCGGACGGGUGAGUAACACGUGGAUAACCUACCUAUAAGACUGGGAUAACUUCGGGAAACCGGAGCUAAUACCGGAUGAUAUUUUGAACCGCAUGGUUCAAAAGUGAAAGACGGUCUUGCUGUCACUUAUAGAUGGAUCCGCGCUGCAUUAGCUAGUUGGUAAGGUAACGGCUUACCAAGGCAACGAUGCAUAGCCGACCUGAGAGGGUGAUCGGCCACACUGGAACUGAGACACGGUCCAGACUCCUACGGGAGGCAGCAGUAGGGAAUCUUCCGCAAUGGGCGAAAGCCUGACGGGGCAACGCCGCGUGAGUGAUGAAGGUCUUCGGAUCGUAAAACUCUGUUAUUAGGGAAGAACAUAUGUGUAAGUAACUGUGCACAUCUUGACGGUACCUAAUCAGAAAGCCACGGCUAACUACGUG